UUACGGCCAUAUCAUGUUGAAACACUGGUUCCCGUAAGAUCACUGAAGUUAAGUAACAUUGGGCAUGAUCAGUACCUAGAUGGGUGACCGUUUAGGAAUACUAGGUGCUAUA